rnacentral:lncRNA from 1 species
AUGAAAUCUGCCCAGGCCUUGAAGUUAGACCACGGAUGGUCCUCCAAACAAACCCACAGACUCGGGCUUGCACUCGGGGACAAUAAACUUGUGCAUGAAGCCCAGUUCCACCAGCCACCCCAUCCUGGGCACCUGGCACUACACAGCCCAGCCUCCUCCCGCUCUGCCUCGCCUCAUCUUUGGAAGGAGAAUGCCUGCCUGCAGCCCCGUCGCCCGCUGGGAUGCCCACAGAAUUCAGUGAGGAGGUUUCUCCGCUGGAGCCACUUCCCAGGCAGUAAGGAAGGUGGCCCCUCACCUCAUGGGCACUGGGAACGGUGCAGAGGUUUGGGAGGGGGGGGUAAGAGCGUGGAGGUGAAAUUCUUGCUGCACCAAAGUCAGUGUGGGCAUUGCCUGCAUUGCCAUCCAGCACGCACAGACCAGGGGGGUCUUAAGCAAUUAAGGAAAACAGUGUGAAAAACACGGUAGGUUGUUUGCAGUCCCCCCUGUUUUCUGCCUGCCUUGAACUCAGGCUGUGGUGUGGUGUCACUUCUUGUUGAUAAAGUUUAUAGGGCUUUUAAGUCGUUAGCUGCAAGCCUCAAAGGAGGAGACGUGUGCGGUUCCUCCUCCUCUGCCCAGACCAAAGGUAGUCGCACACCCUGGCUCUGUUCAAAGCAGAGCAAAGCCUCCACUGACUUGGCAGCGUCCAAGAUUUCUGCUCCUGGACACUGGGACAGACACUGGACCUCUUCCCCCUCCUCUUGCUUUAUUUGAGAGACCUAAGACACACAGGACUGAGGGGCUGAAUGGCACGAUGGUGGGUUUCUACCAACCCUUCUCAUCUAAUUGCAGUCAACUCUAAUUUUGCCUUUUCCACUCUUAACUGAUCUUCUUAACCUGCUUCUUAGCCAGGGCAAAAUUAAGCAUGAGGAAAAAGGCUUAUUCAAGCGUUAUAAUUAUCUACUCCCAAGCUGUAUAACAAAAUGGUUUACACAUUUAAUUGGUUUUGUCUAAAAUUUCCACGUAUACAAUAGUCCUAUUAAUGAAUAUCAUAGCUUCAUUACUGCAUAUCACAUUUUGCUAUUUGUUGUGUACCAUAAAAUAACGUCAGCACAUUAAUAACUUAAAUAACACAAAUGUAAACUC